rnacentral:rRNA from 1 species
UUAAAUUGAAGAGUUUGAUCAUGGCUCAGAUUGAACGCUGGCGGCAGGCCUAACACAUGCAAGUCGAACGGUAGCACAGAGAGCUUGCUCUUGG